UAAGUAUGACAUAAAUAUUUUUAUAUUUACACAAAAAAUUUGAAUAAAAUGAAUGGUCAAACGUUUGUCGAAAAGUCAACGGCAUCAUACAUUAAAAUACGGAGGGAGUAGUAUUUUCUAUCUUUGUGCUCGAAUACUGGCUGGCUCAUGUUCUAUUGACACAUGGACCUAAAAGAGUAAUAUUUGACAAGAGGCUGGCUAAAUACCUGGUGGCUGAACUAUGCAACACAUUUAGCAUGUCACACAAGUGGUGUGUUUCCUAAUACACUCAAGCCUGUACAACAAAUUCUGCUUCAACAAGUAACUAGAACAAAAAUUCACCUGUCGAUGACUACAUAUGUUUGGUAAAGAAGCAUCUGAAAUAUUCCAUAUUAGUAGGUGCUAAUACAACUUGGCUGUUCAUUUAGUGUAAUGAAUUCUGGCAGAUUGGUGUGAAAUAUGCCACAGUUUCUGCUUGUUUGGCUUUUCUUUUUAUUUUGGAGUUGCAGAAUUAGGUGUAAUAAUUUGCAGGUGGUGAAUGAAAUGUGGGCGUCUUGGGAACUACCGGAGGGCUCAAUUUCUGCUGGAGGUUGUCCCUGUUGUGGACGGAAAGGGAAAUGUUGAGUUAUCAGUAACAGGCUUUACGCUAUUCCUGAUAAUAAAAAGGAAUCCUCAACAAUGAAGAGAUUUUGCUGUUUUGAAUUGCAAGCUCUAUGACUUCUGUGGUGAAGAGAGAGACCUUUCUGAGAUGGAUGCUGCUCAUCUGAUAAGAGAAUUUGAUAUUACUGAGCUUGACAAGGUAAUCAAGGAAGCAAAACUAAACCUUGCUCCUGGUCCAUAUGGCUUCCCUGCACAAUUCUAUAGACAAUUCUGGCCACAGCUGAGACAGGGUUUGUUUAAGAUGCUGCAACUGCUUCAUGAUGAAGAGUUAGACUUAAGGAGGUUGAACUUUGGUGCCAUUACCCUAAUCCCUAAAAUUCCCUCCCCUACCUCAAUCAAGCAAUUCAGAUCCGUCUAUGGGCUAAAUGGUUCCCUGAAGUAUCAGCAAAGUUCUGACAAACAGACUGUCUGUAGUGGCUCCAUCCACCGUUGCCUCAACACAAACUGCUUUUAUUCCAGGCAGGUUCAUACUUGAAGGAUGUGUUAUUCUACAUGAGGUGAUGCAUGAACUAAGGAGAAAUAAACAAAGAGGCGUGAUUCUGAAACUAGAUUUUGAGAAGGCUUAUGACAGAGUGAGAUGGGGAUUCGUUUAUGGGGUGUUUGACAGUGAUUCUGAAACUAGAUUUUGAGAAGGCUUGACAGAGUGAGAUGGGGAUUCGUUAUGGGGUGUUGGACAGAGCAUUUUCAUGAAAAAUGGAUUCACUGGGUGAAAAGCUGUAUAGAAGGUGGAAAAGUCUGUAUCAACAUAAAUGGGUAGAGAUCUAAUUUUUUUCAGCACUUACAGAGGCCUCAGGCAGGAGGAUCCUAUCUCUCCGCUGCUCUUCAAUUAUGUGAGUGAUGCGUUGAUCCAGCUAUUUGAUGCAGCCAAAAGCGCCAAUAUCCUAACAGGGCUGGUCCCACACCUCUUCCCUGGGGGAUUGACUCACCUACAAAUGCAGAUGAUACAGUGAUUUUUAUCCCAUACCUUGCUGUGACCAAGUUCCUUCUUUACUGCUUUGAGGACAUGUCUGGUCUAAAGAUUAACUAUGAUAAAGGCAAGGUGUUUGCUGUGGGGUUGGAGUAAAAUGAGUUGAACAGAGUUGCUAACAUGCUCAACUGCCCUGCAGGUUCUUCCCAAUGAAGUAUCUAGUUUUACCCAUCAGUCCACAAAAGGUAGGGAUCUCUGAGUUAAAAUUCCUACCACAUAAGUUAGAAAAGAUGUUCUCGUCAAAAAAAAGUUAGAAAAGAGGUUGGGUACAUGGAAGUCAAAUUUCUCAUCUGGGGGGAGAGAUAUCCUUAUCAAUUCUUGCCUAUCAUCCAUUCCCUCCUAUACAAUGGGUUUCUAUCUUUUGCCAGAAUGCAUUCAUCGCAAGAUCAACACAGUUAGGAGCAGGUUUUAAUGGGCAGGUAAUGGCUCCAAGAAAAAAAAUACAUGAUGAAAUGGGACCAUUUAUGCAGUCAUAAAGAGUUUGGGGGCAUGGGGUUCACAGAAACAAUGAAGUAUAACACGCUCUGUUAUCCAAAUGGAUUUGGAAGCUGGAAUCAGGGGACAUGAGCCCCUGUAUAGAGCUGUUAAGAAGAAAAUAUCUACAGAUCAAGGGGUUUUUCCAAUCUGAAAAGGAGGGAGGGUCACAAUUUUGUAGAAGCUUGCACUCAAUUAAAUUCUGGGUCCAAAACAACUCUGAAUGGAAAUUGGGAUAAGGAACUCAUAUCUCUUUCUGGUCAGAUGUUUGGACUGGGUCCUGUCCUUUGAAAACAAAUCUGUAACCAACAAGAGAUUCUGGUGCCUGAUGCUCUGGCCUCUUGGCCUGAGGGGAUUUCUUUCAGAAGGUCUUUUGGCCCGGUGGAGGUGGAGUGGGAAAACCUUGGGCAACGAAUGGCUGAAAUCUCUUACUGAUGAGGAAGACAUGAUGCUUUGGCCUUUUGAGAAGAACAAAUGCUUUUCUACAAAGUCUUGCUACAAAAUGCUAAACUUUCAUGGGGUGAAAGAUAUGAGAGGACUAGAUAUUUGGCAAGAGCCAAUGCCCCAGAAGGUAAAGCACUUUGUAUGGCUUGCUUGGAAAGAUAAGAUUCAAUCCACCUCCUAUCUGGUUAAGAAGAAUUGGGAAGGAUCUGAGAGAUGCAUUCUUUGUUCUGAGAUAGAAGAUGCCUGGCCAGAAAAUGAAUGAAAAGGGUCUUAUGCUGCUCAGCUGCUGGGUGCAGCGAACAAAAUCUUGUCCACACCUCUAACCCUUGUUUUUCGUGUGAUUUUCUUCCUUUGGCAGUGGAGUAGGUCGAUGCGCAAAGGAGAAGAAGCUCAAGCGGAGUCGAUGGCGGUGAAGAUCCUAGAAGUUACCCUGGUUUAGGCUGAGCAGGGUUUUGGAGCCUUGCUGUUCUUUGCCAGAACCUAAACUCGUUUUGUUUUUGUUUCUCUUCCUGAGAUCCCUGUUAGAGUUGCAGCAGUUAAGUUGGUUGGUGGCCGGUGUUUUGGCCCUGUUCCCUGUCUGGCAAAGCUGGUGUUGUCCCCAGAGAAUCUGUGGAAAACUCUGAAAUUUCAGCUUUGUCCGUUUAUGACAUGGCAUUUGAACAUUGUUUCCUUGAUCACAGGGAGAUCCACUGGUCAAUUGGUUCGACUCUUGAAGGCCAGGAGAUCUCAACCACAGCAAUGGUGAAACUAGGAGCAACAUAAUGCAGCCGCUUGUUAUUUCCAGCCAAAAUUAAUGCUUUAGUCAAUGUUACGCACUUAGUGGUUCCAAAAGCCAAACCAUGGUGUGUUUUUGCUGCUGUUUGUUGUUCAUAAACAAUGGGCAAUGGAAUUCACCUGACGAUAUGUGUUGUUGAGCUAAUGAUUUUGAACCUCAUAGCACCAGGAA